GAUUUUUUUUAAUAAGUGUUGUCCAUCAAACAUAACAUUUAACCUAAAACACACUUCAAUAAAUUUAGUCUUUUCCACUUCCUCUCACUUCUCCUCUUUGUUCUUCGUCUCCUUUCUCCUUUUCUUCACCAUUUUUUCUCUGCCACAUAUAUAGAUUCCACCAACACCACCAAUGUUUAAUCUUCGUCGACUCUCGCUUUCACCAACUAUUCAGCCACUGAAUCUCAACAUCAAUUGUCAUGUGUUUCACUCAAGCCUACCCUCCUCUCCCAUUACAAGCCUCUCUCAACGCCUUCCACAGAUGGAGCUCUUAGAUCUGAGUUCCUUCACUAGAUCUGACCCUCUCUCACAUUCACAUUCCCAGAUCUGUAUGAAAUCUCAAAUUUAAUGCCUUGAUCUAUGAUUCUUUGUUAAUAUUUUCAAUGAUUGUAUUUGGAUUCAGAUUCAUCUUGAACCUUUAAAGAAAUCUGAUAGAAGAGCAGAGGAAGCUUCGGCCCAGAUGAAGUAUCUCUUGUUCUUAAGAACACUAAUAGCCAGAUCUGUUAGGGCUGCUAAGUAUUAUGUUUGGAGGUUUAAAUUUAAAUAAGAUGAAGUAAGACUGUAAGAGGGCAUGUGUUGCGUGAAGAUGGAGAAUUUGAAGUAAGAAGACAUGUGUUUUGUGAAGUCCAAGAAUUUGAAGUGAUUACAAAUCAAGGUGAAGAUGGAAUCAUGUAAACUUUGUAAAGAAUUGUUGCUUGCGUUUAUUUGGACUUAUGUUUUUGUAUCUUUGUGACAAUUAAUGAAAUAUUUUUAUGUUAAUUA